rnacentral:rRNA from 1 species
CACGUAGGGCGCGAGCGUUGUCCGGAAUUAUUGGGCGUAAAGAGCUCGUAGGCGGUUUGUCGCGUCGACUGUGAAAACCUACAGCUUAACUGUGGGCUUGCAGUCGAUACGGGCAGACUUGAGUUCGGUAGGGGAGACUGGAAUUCCUGGUGUAGCGGUGAAAUGCGCAGAUAUCAGGAGGAACACCGGUGGCGAAGGCGGGUCUCUGGGCCGAUACUGACGCUGAGGAGCGAAAGCGUGGGGAGCGAACAGG